GAUGAAGAACGUAGCGAAAUGCGAUACUUGGUGUGAAUUGCAGAAUCCCGUGAACCAUCGAGUCUUUGAACGCAAGUUGCGCCUCAAGCCAUUAGGCUGAGGGCACGUCUGCCUGGGCGUCACAUAUCGUUGCCUGAUGCCAGUUUCCUCGUGAUGGGUGACUGUGCAGGGCGAAUGAUGGCUUCCCGUGAGCAUUGUUGCCUCAUGGUUGGUUGAAAAUUGAGUCCUUGGUAGGGAGCGCCGUGAUAGAUGGUGGUUGAGUGACGAACGAGACCCAAUCAUGUGAGACCCCUACCGAAUUUGGCCUGCAUGACCCACAUGCGUCUUUGGAACGCUCAUGACGAGACCUCAGGUCAGGCGGGGCUACCCGCUGAGUUUAAGCAUAUCAAUAAGCGGAGGA
rnacentral:misc_RNA from 1 species